UCCCGCAAGGGAUUAGUAGAGUGGCAAACGGGUGAGUAACGCGUGGGUGACCUGCCUUCGAGCGGGGGAUAACGUUCCGAAAGGGACGCUAAUACCGCAUGACAUCCUGCCUUUGAAGAGGUGGAGAUCAAAGCUGGGGAUCGCAAGACCUAGCACUUGAAGAGGGGCCCGCGUCUGAUUAGCUAGUUGGUGGGGUAAUGGCUCACCAAGGCAUCGAUCAGUAUCCGGCCUGAGAGGGCGGACGGACACACUGGGACUGAGACACGGCCCAGACUCCUACGGGAGGCAGCAGUGGGGAAUUGUUCGCAAUGGGCGCAAGCCUGACGACGCAACGCCGCGUGGAGGAUGAAGACCUUCGGG
rnacentral:rRNA from 1 species